rnacentral:rRNA from 1 species
CCUACGGGUGGCUGCAGUGAGGAAUAUUGGUCAAUGGUCGAGAGACUGAACCAGCCAAGCCGCGUGAGGGAGGAAGGUACAGAGUAUCGUAAACCUCUUUUGUCAGGGAACAAAGGCGGGGACGUGUCCCCGGAUGAGUGUACCUGGAGAAAAAGCAUCGGCUAACUCCGUGCCAGUAGCCGCGGUAAUACGGAGGAUGCGAGCGUUAUCCGGAUUUAUUGGGGUUAAAGGGUGCGCAGGCGGUCUGUUAAGUCAGCGGUAAAAGCCCGGGGCUCAACCCCGGCCCGCCGUUGAAACUGGGAGUCUUGAGUUGGAGAGAAGUACGCGGAAUGCGCGGUGUAGCGGUGAAAUGCAUAGAUAUCGCGCAGAACUCCGAUUGCGAAGGCAGCAUGCCGGCUCCACACUGACGCUGAGGCACGAAAGCGUGGGUAUCGAACAGGAUUAGAUACCCGUGUAGUC